AAACUUAAAGGAAUUGACGGGNNCCCACACAAGCGGUGGAUGAUGUGGAUUAAUUCGAUGCAACGCGAAAAACCUUACCUACCCUUGACAUGUACGGAAGUUUACUGAGAGGUAGAUGUGCCUGAAAGGGAACCGUAACACAGGUGCUGCAUGGCUGUCGUCAGCUCGUGUCGUGAGAUGUUGGGUUAAGUCCCGCAACGAGCGCAACCCUUGCUAUUAAUUGCCAUCAUUGAGUUGGGCACUUUAAUAGGACUGCUGGUGAUAAACCGGAGGAAGGUGGGGAUGACGUCAAGUCCUCAUGGCCCUUAUGGGUAGGGCUUCACACGUCAUACAAUGGCCGGUGCAGAGAGAUGCCAACCCGCGAGGGGGAGCCAAUCUCAGAAAGCCGGUCGUAGUCCGGAUUGUUCUCUGCAACUCGAGAGCAUGAAGUCGGAAUCGCUAGUAAUCGCGGAUCAGCAUGUCGCGGUGAAUACGUUCCCGGGUCUUGUACACACCGCCUGUCACACCAUGGGAGUGGGUGAUACCAGAAGUAGGCAGUCUAACCGCAAGGAGGGCGCUUACCACGGUAUGAUUCAUGACUGGGGUGAAGUCGUAACAA
rnacentral:rRNA from 1 species